GGGUGUGGCUGUGCUGAGGCGCGCUAGAAUAAAGGAAGCCUGGGCCAAGCUUGCGCUGGGGUUCGGGUUCAGCGCUACGUCAUCGGCGGAACCAUGGAGUCGAGCUGUUUAUCCCGGGGCAGUGGAGGCCACCCGCCUUUUGGGGGAUCCCUGCUUGGUACUUCGGGAAUUAGAUGAGUCAGUCCAGUGUAACCUAGUGGCCUACCAGCAUGUCAGAUGUACCACUUGUCAAGAAUGGAUGAGAAGGUGUGAAUGGGUUGUGAUUUGCAUUGUUGGAAGGAACUGAUAAAAUCUGAAAUUCAUUAAUGUAUUCAUCAAACAGGCUAUUGGAAUAAUUCAGAACAGCAGCAAUGUCAGAGGAGAAGAGAAGAGAGAUACUGCGAGAAGACAGGUCUUGGCAAUAGGUUGGAUAUGGAAGGUGAGAGACAAGAAAUCUAGGAUGACUUCAAAAUUGUGAAUUGGAGGAAUUGGGAAGAUGACUGCUACAAGUAAUUGGGAAGGUAGAAUGAGGGUAGGGAUUUGGGGAAAUAUAAUGAUUUUUAGAUAUCUAUUGGACAUCUGAUUUGAAACAAGAAAGGCAGUUAGAAAUAUAAGAUUGGUGGUCAGAAGAGUUUAGAACAAAAUAUAUUUGAAAAUUAUUACCAUGGAUAUGGUAAUUAAAUCUUCCAGAACUGAUGAAAUCACCAAGUGUAUCUACACUUAGAGAAGAAGUGGACCCAGGAUCUACAUAGAAGAAGUGGACCCAGGACAUAAGCAUUAUGUCAAACAUAAUAUCAUAGUUUCAUCUUUUGAGUGUCUUUAAAAGUCUUGGAUGGUACAAGGAUCAGCUUUAAUUUACUUAAAUCUAAUAUUUCACCUGAACCUAAAAUAGUUUACCUGCUUUAAACUUCAAUUUAAUCUAGUCCCUCUGACAGUUCUGCUUCAAAAACAAAAAAAUAACGAAUUGAUGCUUCUUUAGAGUCAGCAAAAAAGUCACUAUCUCUGUAGCUUCUUUCUUAUCCCUCUAAUACCCCUUUUUUACUAGGUUGAAAGGUC
rnacentral:lncRNA from 1 species